CCCGGCUUCGGCCGGAAUCCUAGUGGCGGACGGGUGAGUAACGCGUGGGAACCUGCCCAACAGUGGGGAAUAACAGCGGGAAACUGCUGCUAAUACCGCAUACGUCCUUCGGGAGAAAGGCUUCGGCCGCUGUUGGAUGAGCCCGCGUCCGAUUAGCUAGUUGGUGGGGUAACGGCCUACCAAGGCGACGAUCGGUAGCUGGUCUGAGAGGACGACCAGCCACACUGGGACUGAGACACGGCCCAGACUCCUACGGGAGGCAGCAGUGGGGAAUAUUGGACAAUGGGGGAAACCCUGAUCCAGCGACGCCGCGUGAGUGAAGAAGGCCUUAGGGUUGUAAAGCUCUUUCGCCGGGGAAGAUGAUGACGGUACCCGGAGAAGAAGCCCCGGCUAACUCCGUGCCAGCAGCCGCGGUAACACGGAGGGGGCUAGCGUUGUUCGGAAUGACUGGGCGUAAAGCGCGCGUAGGCGGUUCGGUAAGUUGGAUGUGAAAGCCCGGGGCUCAACUCCGGAUGUGCGUUCAAGACUGCCGAACUUGAGACCGAGAGAGGAGAGUGGAAUUCCCAGUGUAGAGGUGAAAUUCGUAGAUAUUGGGAAGAACACCAGUGGCGAAAGCGGCUCUCUGGCUCGGUUCUGACGCUGAGGUGCGAAA
rnacentral:rRNA from 1 species